rnacentral:snRNA from 1 species
GUGCUUGCUUCAGCAGCACCUAUACUAAAAUUGGAAUGAUACAGAGAAGAUUAGCAUGGCCCCUGCACAAGGAUGACACACAAAUUUGUGAAGUGUUCCAUAUUUCA